AAGGGGGAGGGCGGGUCACUCGCCGUGGCUGCGCCUGCCCACCUCGGAGUCCGCUUCGCGCCGGACGUCGCCUCAUGAUCCGGCGAGCUUCCUGGACUGAUCUGUUCCUGGUCCUGUCCCAGCCUUCGGCUUCACCACAGUUUCCUUGAAGGGAAACUAACAGCUUCACUAACAGGAUACAUGGGGCAGGUAGGUUCUUCUAUCAAGACAGAUUAAAUGGGGUCUGAAUUUCAAUUACUGGAGUAGAGUUGUAUGGGACAGAUCACAAGUCUGAAAUGCAGAGGCCAGAUCAAGGCCAGGUACGGUUGUCUCUGUGAAGGUUGUACUUGCUGCCCUAAGGAACAUUAGAAUUGUCCACUUGUCCCUGCAAGAGCAGAUUUUUCUAUUUUAAUCCCAGUUUACCUAGAGAUCUGUUCCCUGUAUACUCAGACUUUUGUGUUUUUUGCUCUAUGGAAGAAGUAGAGACAAAAAGCUAUCUCUAGGUUUCCUUGUUCAUCCCUGGAAGAGAAUGAAAACCACAUGAAGCACUGCAUCAGCUAGGGAAACCUAGAGAGAGAGAGAGAGCUUUUUCGUCUCACUACUUUUUCCAUGGAGCAAAAACAAAGUCUAUACCAGUAUACAGUAAACAGAUCUCUGGGACAGGAGACUAAGCAGAAAUAAUUUUGCAUGUGCAGGUUGAACUAAUAAUAAAGGAAGCUUCCUGUUCCUGUGCAUAUGAUAAACACACAAGUGGACAAUUCUAGUGUUCCUUUGGGUGGCAAGUACUGAACAGUGGGGUUUAAGAACCAUCUUCCAUUAGUUUUAGGGAAGGGUGUCUAAGGAGAAGAUUUUUAAGUGGGAGUUAAGUACCUAACCGCGCUUUAUGCCUUUGUCAGAGUCCCCUACGCCAUUUUGAAAAAGUCAGCUAUGACUGUUGGAGACUGGAAAUGUGAGUCUACUAGCUGAUAGGCUGUAUUAAACUAUCUAGAUGAAAACCAUGGGAUAAUGUAGAACAAGUCACUGGAACCAAACUUAUCAAAAUGCUAAAAGAGGAGGUUUUAUAUUGCCAGCAUUGUAGUAUAUUUUAUAUACCUGUUUAGACCAAACUGCAAAAUGAACAGGACCUAAUUGGGAUAAAAAUAUUGACACCAGCCCACCCUCCUCAUUAUGCUAUGUGAGCAUCUGGAAGAUCUGUAACUAGAACAUAGUUACUCUUAUUCUUGAGUGCAAGGAAAAAAACCUAUGUCCAUGGUUAAACAGGUAGUAUAUUAGAGAAGCCACUUACUGCAACAUGUUACAAGUUUAACAGGCUAAAUCCUUUGGUCAUUAAUAGGGCCCUACCAAAUUCAUGGUCCAUUUUGGUCAAUUUCACAGUCAUAGGAUUUUAAAAAUCUGAAAUUUCAUGAUUUCAGAUAUUUAAAUCUGAAAUUUCAGUGUUGUAACUGUAGGAGUCCUGACCCAACUCUGAAGGCAGGAGCGCAGAAGUAAGGGUGGCAAUACCACGAUCCCCCUACAAUAAUCUUGCUCCCCCCCCCCACCCUCUUGGGUUAGGACCUGCAGUUUAAGAAAUGCUAGUCUCUCCUGUGAAAUCUGAAUAAUAGAGGGUAAAAGUACACAAAAGACCAGAUUUCACAGUCUGUGAUGCGUUUUUCACAGCCAUGAAUUUGGCAGGGCCCUAGUCAUUAAAUAAAUUGUCCCAUAGCCCAACUGCAGACUAGCUAAUCUUGUUACAGCCCAAGGGUGACAAGAAUUAGCCAGCUUCUCCACAAUUCUAACUAGUAGGCAGGAACUGAUUUUGCAGAAUUCAUCUUUAUUUACAUUUUCAAUAUUUAAAAAGUAUAAUUACAACACUUUUUUCCACUUUAAAGUUCAUAAGCUAAAAAUUCAUAAUUACUGUACAUAAAAAAUAAAACUUGAAAUAAAUUCACUUGAGAUUUGGAAGAGAGAUACAUAUCACAAUUAAAUAUUCCUUCCCUGGAAAUAUUCUGUUUGCAUUCCAAAAAGAGAAGCGUUCAGAGAACAUGAGCGGAAUACACCUUUCCAUAUUAACAUAAAUGAACCAAUUUUGUUGGAUGCACAACUAAAAAGUUCACAUUUAUGAAGUAACUGGAACAUAUUUAAGAACUCUACCACAGGAUUCAGAUUUUAGAUACUAAGUUUAACCAUUUAGAGAGUGUCCUGAACUUGUCUUUCCAAGUUGAGGCCAGCUCCACAGAUCAGAAAAACUUCCUAUUCCUCUAAGAACAAGCUGUUAAUACUUAUCUGUGCAAUAAGAGCAGGUCUGUUUCCUCUCCCCCUCCUUGUCCCAAAACCUUUGAAAAUCUUUUUGGACUAUUCCCAUUUCAACAUCCUCAAAGGAAUAAACACCUCAUUUGCGUACAUAUUAGGAUAGUGUAACCACAGCAUUUGGACCUUGGCUCAACUCUUACAGAAAUGCUAUAAUUUGAACAUGGUGGAGGGGGGCAGGGAGAGAGAGCUUUUGUGACUUAACACCAGUCCACGCCAGCAGCACUUAACACUACACAGGAAUUUUAUUACCCAAUGGCAGGAUGUCAAGAACCUGGGCAUGCAGGAACCUACUACAGAGCUAAUUAAACUUAAGUAUGAGCAUAAUUGUUACAGAGAAAGAAAAUGCAGAUUUCUUUAAAGGGACACUAUCAUGCCAUAAUUAAGAAGCCUUGUGUUACUUUUAAUUAAAAAAUUUAAAAUAUAGCUUUUCACCAUUUACACUUCACUUUUUGCAUUUCAUCUUGUAUAAUAAAAUUAGACUGAUGUUUCAUUUUAUGGUUCUCAUAUGUUAACACAAUCCUUUUGUACCUGAGUUUCCAACUUCUCUUCCAAAACUGAAGUUUAAAAAAAUCGAACAUUUAUAUUCAAGUUGAUAGGUUUUUAAAGGGUUUUGAAAAACCCUUUAAAAACCUAUCACUGACUUGCCGUGUUGCUUCACACUUCAGUUGAGCAGCUUUUCUCCUUUGUCACCAACUCUUACUUCUCUCUUCACUCCCUCUGCUUCACUAAGUAAUUCUCGAAACCAUUUUGGGAUAUAGUUUAUAUGGGAACUACAGAACAAGACCAUAAAAAUCUAAAUGUGGGGCCUAAACUAUUAGAAAAGAAAAACUCAACUUAUAAAAACAAAUGACCAGUUAGAGUUUUAGAAGACCUAAUGAGGACUUGAUCCAAGAGGUUUUUUCUACCUCUUUGUCUGGGACAUACAGUUGCAGACAUCUCCCACAGUUUCAGCAGUGUGUGUAUAUAUUUCAGCAGUAUAUUUCCAGUUACACAAAAUACCAGUUCAUAGACACUCCCACAAAAGAAAAAAGGUGAACUCCCCCAACACAACUAUAUCACAAGACCCACCCACCCUCUAUCUGUUAGACCCCAAUCGCCCUAAAAGCUCACAAGAAAAUGAGCUUUUGCAGCAUGUCUGGAUAUGAUGGUGCACAACUGAAACUGACUUUAUACCAAACAAUAGGAAGAGUCUGGUCACCAUUUCUCCAUCACUCUGCAUUCCUGGGCGUUCCACAGAACACUGCGGGAUCAUAUUAAGAAUUUUAGUUGUGGCUUCACCUAGCAAGAAACUUCUCAAUCAAGACUACCACCACCACACACCUCCACUUGCCAAACUCUACAAGAUUCUAGUGCUCUAAGUCCUUACAACCACUGUCCAGUCUACCAUAUCCGCAGCAACACUACUCAACCUUCUUGGUAAUCACAAGGUGCCCAGAGGGCUACAACCACCACCACCACUGGGUAUUCAAGUAAGGAACUCGACGGCAGGCCUAAAAAGUCCAUCUAACCUAUCCAAUUAGAUAGCAGAUAAAUCCCCACAGAUUCCCCAACACUCAAAAGCCACCAGAGCAAUUUCUCCCUCUCCUUAGUCUUUCACCUGAUAUGGACCACCAGCACACCACCAAUGACGAUAUAUACAGAGUAGCAGAGGGGAAUCUGCAGCUAAGGGCAGAUAAAACAGUCAUACUAAGUUACAUACUGAGUGGUACAGAGUAAUGCAGUAGAAAUAAGAACCACAAACAUUUUACAGCAAUUCACACUCUUCUCUACAGUUUUAAGUGCCAGAUUCCAUAAGCAUCAGAUUUUAUCCUGUGAGAGGUAAAAACACUAAACACACAGUAAAUUCAUCCAAAAUGUAUCAACAUGUUAAAAAACACAGAAUGGGGGAGGUUUUUAUGUGCCACCCAUACAUCUGCUCUUAAAUAUUUACAUAUAAAUAUUUGUAUGUAAAUAAGAUCACAAUUAAUCAUUUACCUUAAACUGCUCUUAGCAGCACCAAGUUAACCUAGGUUUUUUUUUUUUGUUUUUUUUUUAAACUCAGUUUAUAACAUGGCUAAGGGCAAUACAAACAGCUUUAUAGCAGAAAAUUCUACUGCUACAUUGAAGACAAUAGAGAGGUGGGUUAGGACAUUACUGAAGGAUGGGACCUUUUCUGACCAGCAACUCUCUUAGUGUUGACAUGAAGUUACUAAAGUCAUUUUCAUUUUCACAAGAGCCUUGCACUCCUAAUAUAUUGAACUGUCUCAGAAUAUAAUUCAUCAGUGUUUAGCUAUUUCAGGUAACUGCAUAAGACACCUGGAUGUUUCAUUGACUGAAAUAAGGACACCGCUAGUCAUCAUUUGGUCCAUAAGGGAAAGGUUUUCACAAGAUCUUCGAGCAGCACCAAGUUAUUUGAUGGACUCUCUCAAUGCAAAAACCCACGGAAGGGGUAGCUGAAAGAAGUGCCUGGUUUCUUUGCGCAUGCUUAUUUUUACUAAUACCCAGUACUUUUGGGUGGAUAGGAUUCCUCAGUUUUGUGUCAAUGUAAUGUACACUACAGAUAGACUGUGGAACUCUGACAAUUUAAAAAAGCUGCAGUAGCUGAUGUCUGAAUCUUAGACACUAAUUACAGAGCCCCAGCUUUCUUUUAUUCUAUGUAAAUAUCUGAAACCAACAUAUUACACACAAUAAAAUAUUGCAAAAAAUUAA